UGCAAAUGAUGCUUAUUCUCACGAUGGUCUUCCAAGCCUCAAAGAGGCUCUGACGACAAUGCCGAAUGGCUUUGCUGAUGCAACUCG